ensembl:lncRNA
AAUUCUUCAUGCUGUGCCUGGUUUAUACAAGCACGGGCAAAAUGGCUGAUGCCCAAAAGGCUAAUAAAGAUCACCCUGUUCCCAGCAUGCUCUCUACUGUUAGAAACCAGCAAUUAACUUAAUAGGGUUCCUGAAAUGCGGUAGUUUCAGGAGAUGUGGCAUGCAUUGACAUUCUCUGGCUGGUCUAAACAACCUCCCAUCCCUCAGAAGCAGGAUAUGUUUGCUAUUUGAAUUAUUUAGGAGCAUGUUAUGUGAAUGAUAAAGCUGCACUUUGCAGCAUUAAGUCUAAUAUUUUAUGAUCUUCAAUUGAUUAGGUAGGCUUUUGGGAUUAGCUAUAAAGGUUGUGAUAAAACAUCCCAGAUUCUGGCAAUUUGUGUUCACAGUUGGAGUUUCAAGUUCUAUGCAGAAAAAGUUGUGGAAAAGAAGUCGUUUUAUCUUAUGUUUUCUAUCAAAAAGACUAUUUUACUCGCAACUCACCAAAGAUGUUUUGAGAUGUCCAAAGAAAAUAAAGGAAUUGAUUUGCUCAGCCAGCUAGAGCAGUACCAAUAUUUUUAUGGGAUUUAGUGGACAUUCACACAAAGGUUUAUGUGAGGAAGGAUACUUGUGCAGCAAGGUAUGAGGAAAUAGCAAAACAGAUUGAUUUGGACAAAAGGAAACCAUCAGGGGUUGAGACAGAUUUAAACAAAGGUGGCAGAAGAGAAAUAAGAUGACAUGGAAGAAAGCAUAAAAGCAAGAAUGAAAGAAACAGAGGUAGAAGAGACAGAGGAGCAACACUAAGACAUGGUGAAGAGGGGAUUAAAAAAAAAAAAUCAAGAUUUUCAAAGGAAUAGAGGAUAAGCCAUCAGGCCUCACAAAACUAACUUCUGCUCCUGCUGAUUUCUUCUUUCUCAUUGCUUCUCCAGUUUCCAUGCUACUGGCUUCUGCUUCUGACAAUAGAGAUUUGUACAUCGAUGCUGUGCUCGCCAGCUGGUCCGUGGGAUUUGCGUUACGCUAUUUGUUUGGAUGUAUGUGUUCCUGUAAAGAGAUGAUGUCGCGUUUUUCAGCCGGCACAGGAGAUGUACCUUUUCUUCAGCCCUCCCUGCUCCUCAGUACCAAGCUGCGGAGUCAAGAGAGAUGGUUUGUAUCUCCAGAGAUUUACAGAAGAAUUCAUAAAUUGGCACCGCUGGUAUGUCAGCAAUGCGAAGCAGCCCUUCUCCAUUGUUGCCUGGCUGUGAACCUGCCACUGGCUGAAAGCAUUUGCCUCGAGUAUCAAACUCACAGCACAGCGCGACGUGAAGCUGUCCUCCCCUCUUCUGAGGGCUCCCCAGAACUAAAUAUACAGCUCGCUAAGUACAAAUUGUCAUCUCUUUAGGUCAUCUAUUUCUACAUCUUUUCAUUCCCCUGCCCUGGCAUUGCAGGCUGAGUAGACAGGAGAUAUUGAUUAAGGAACUCAAAGGAAAUGAUUGUAACCAAAUGCUCUGCUGAGUGCGCCCUCAAAGAGCUCUGAACUUGUAAUAAGUGAACUGGUGCACUUGUCGUCAGGAGCAGCAUAUUCAUCCCACGAUGACCUGUCAAAUUGGCCUGUUAGCAUGGCUGAUAAUGCUCCGGCAUUUCCAGUGCUAGGGAAGAGAGGGGAACAUCACAUGUGCUCUCAAAUACAGUACAGAGAGCAUCAGAAAAAAAAAAGAAAAAAAAAAAAUCUGUGUUAUUUGUACUUUAGCAGACGAUUUGUGGAAAGGCUGGGAAUUGAAUCCAGAUUGCCCGGCUGCGGGGUCUUGUGCACAAGAGCAGCCCCCCUUUUGCAGCUUGGCUCUCUGGUCUUUCUCUGUCUGACAGUCCUUUCCCUUCUUCUCAUUUGUCUUUGGAUGCGCUGAGUUGCUUGUGUGAAGAUGGCUGAUAUCCCAGCACACAAGAUUUUGCCAGAUAUCAUUUCUAAAACCUGUGUAGCACGUAGGUAAUAUCACACAGAUCCCAUGUAAAUAUGUGCAGGGUUUUAGGAUCAGGUUAAUAUGAGAUUGCCCACAGUUAGCUCACCUGGGGAUGAGCAGCACCCUCAGAAUGAAGCCAGGCAGGACCAAGAAAAAGUUGGUUCUGAGAAAUUCCCAGGACAUGUAUUACACACAACUGUGUUGUCACAGAGCUUUCCCUUCUGGAUUAGUAACAACGUCUUUUGUACAUUUCCCUCUCCUUGAUCAAAUGCAGCAGCAAUAUGGAGAAAGGGAGGCAAACUCAGUCUUUUAGGAAGAAUUUGAGAGAGAUUCAGUAUUGUGAUAAUCAUUUACAAAGAAAACAUUUUCUCACAGAAGAAAACAAGUUUAAAAUUUGGACCGGACUCAUCUUUUUUUUUAUCACUUUGCAAGAUAAAUUUGAUCCCUGCAACCGAGAAAGCACUGUUCCAGGUCUCAGAUGCUUCAUAACUUGCCUUGUUUCAGGAAAAAAAAAAAAAAAAAAAAAAAAAAAAGAUACAUUAGUCAAAAUGAUUCCUAGAUGUGAUCUAUGUGACUGUGGAUUAAUUUGUUAAGAUAUUAAGAUGUUAAAACCAAAGCCUAAAACUGGACCCCACUGGACAGUGACCUUGAACCUGGGAACAGACUGGGGGUCAUAGCAUAGAGCAGGAGAAAUAUCCAUUUCAUACACAGCUAAAAGCCAUAAACCAGCCUGCAUGCAACAGAUACUGGGAUUCUUGAAGCCAGGUAAUGAAACAUGUAAAACAGGACUUGAGAGUCUUGAGGAUACCUCUUCAUCCAGGUUUAGAGAGGAGUCAAAGUUGGUCCAAAAUUUCACUGUUAUUGGAUUUUGCAAAUGUCCAAAAGGAGGCAGAAACAGCCCUUUGGACAUCUUACCCCUUUUGGCUGGUCCUACAAGGGACUAGAGACAUUUAUGCUGAAUUCCCUGAUUCCCCAUAGACAUUCUGAUAUUUUAGCUAUGGCAAUGCUUGUAACGGCCAAGAAUCCACAUUAAUUGAGCAUCUCCAAGAGAGAAGAAGAAUCUGAGCAGCUGCGAGGGAGUACAUGGGAUCAGGAAAGAGCCAAAUCCUGGUUUCAUCCAUGAGAUUCCCGAAAGCAGAGAUGUAGCAUGAUUUAUGGGGAGGUGCAAACUCUCCACAGGAGAAUGCAGAAGGAAGAGCCUCAGGGGGAUCUUUGAUGAGAGAAAACAAUCUAGACAUAAAUAAAGACUUCAAUGGAUUUGUCCCUUCAUUAUUUUGGAGCCUGAUCCAAAGCCUCACUAAGUCAAUAGAAGAACUCCAGCUGGGGUUUAGGUGAAGAACCGAGGGUGCAAUUUGCACACAACUCAUGUCACUCCGGAGCGUUUCUGCACUGAGGGGAAAUACGCUUGUUAAAGCACCGAGCUGACACUGAGAAGCAUUCUGCUAACACAGGAUAUUCUUUCAUUGAGUUACUUGUUGCUGUCCAAUAAAAUAAAAUAUAGGAAACCCUUUAGUGUUUCAUCAAAUUCUUGCUCAUUUCAAAGAGUACCAAUAUUUCUGUGUCUGGCUCACAUAUUAAAAAGUUUGCCCACGUAUUAUGUUUCUUUUUUUCUUCUUCUUUUUUUUUUUUUUUUGUCAUAGGCUUAGCUUCAGAUCUUUCUAUGACUUUCACUAGGG